GAGAAGCGACACAAGGAAAGAAUUGAGAAAGCUACAAGAAUCGAAAGCCUUAUGGAAAAAUGUUUGACUGAAAGCAAACCAGCUUAAACCUGUGGGUGUGCGCGAUAUAGUUAUAAAAUCAGCUCUUGGUUUGCAGGCUUCUGCAAAUGGAUGUAAAAUGAUUGCAAGUGCCUUUCGUUUCCGGCCGAACGUUUCGCCAAAUAACAUUUUCACCGGCGCCCUUCGCUCAUUUACAACAACUGCCUUUUCUCCAUCACCAUAUCAUGUCAUUGACGGCCAAAUCCACAUCACCUUUAUACGGCGUGUUCGGAAACACUGCUCUUGCUAGUGGUUCGGAUUUCGGAGCAACUUGAACAGCAACAACGGCACCAACAGAACAUUCGGUUUAACCCUGACAAACCUGUACCUGUACAAACAUUCCCCAAGCCAUACAAAUAUACCCACAUUGACGUUGCUGCCAGUGAUUUUGUAUUGCCAGAUGAGCCGACCGUUGCACCAAUCGUGGCAUUGGCAAAAACACAUUUAUAGUUUUAGGCGUAUAACUAGCGUUUGCAAUUAUACGACAGUUGACGAUUUAUUUAUUUCUUUUUAACUUGAAUCCAUUUUUAUAAUAAAAGGAUUCAUUCGAUAAUAA